UACGAAGGGGGCUAGCGUUGUUCGGAAUUACUGGGCGUAAAGGGCUCGUAGGCGGCUUGUCGCGUCGACUGUGAAAACCCGCGGCUCAACUGCGGGCCUGCAGCCGAUACGGGCAGGCUAGAGUUCGGUAGGGGAGACUGGAAUUCCUGGUGUAGCGGUGAAAUGCGCAGAUAUCAGGAGGAACACCGGUGGCGAAGGCGGCCACCUGGGCCGACCCUGACGCUGAGGCGCGAAGGCGUGGGGAGCGAACGGG
rnacentral:rRNA from 1 species